rnacentral:rRNA from 1 species
CUACGUGCCAGCAGCCGCGGUAAUACGUAGGUCCCGAGCGUUGUCCGGAUUUAUUGGGCGUAAAGCGAGCGCAGGCGGUUAGAUAAGUCUGAAGUUAAAGGCUGUGGCUUAACCAUAGUAUGCUUUGGAAACUGUUUAACUUGAGUGCAGAAGGGGAGAGUGGAAUUCCAUGUGUAGCGGUGGAAUGCGCAGAUAUCAGGAAGAACACCGGUGGCGAAGGCGGGUCUCUGGGCCGUUACUGACGCUGAGGAGCGAAAGCGUGGGGAGCGAACAGGAUUAGAUACCCUGGUAGUCCACGCCGUAAACGUUGGGCACUAGGUGUGGGGGGCCUUUUCCGGGUCUUCCGCGCCGUAGCUAACGCAUUAAGUGCCCCGCCUGGGGAGUACGGCCGCAAGGCUAAAACUCAAAGGAAUUGACGGGGGCCCGCACAAGCGGCGGAGCAUGCGGAUUAAUUCGAUGCAACGCGAAGAACCUUACCAAGGCUUGACAU